rnacentral:tRNA from 1 species
GGAGAGGUGCCUGAGAGGCCGAAAGGAACGGUUUGCUAAAUCGUCGUCCCUCAAAAGGGGACCGGGGGUUCGAAUCCCCCCCUCUCCGCAA